GCGGCAGGCCUUACACAUGCAAGUCGAGGGGUAACAGGAGAAAGCUUGCUUUCUCGCUGACGACCGGCGCACGGGUGCGUAACACGUAUGCAACCUACCUCUUACUGGGGGAUAGCCCAGAGAAAUUUGGAUUAACACCCCAUAGUAUCACCAGUUCGCAUGUUCAGGUGAUUAAAGGUUACGGUAAGAGAUGGGCAUGCGCCCCAUUAGCUAGUUGGUGAGGUAACGGCUCACCAAGGCUACGAUGGGUAGGGGGUCUGAGAGGACUAUCCCCCACACUGGUACUGAGACACGGACCAGACUCCUACGGGAGGCAGCAGUGAGGAAUAUUGCGCAAUGGACGAAAGUCUGACGCAGCCAUGCCGCGUGCAGGAUGACGGCGCUAUGCGUUGUAAACUGCUUUUAUAUGCCAAGAAACCUUCGGACGUGUCCGAAGCUGACGGUAGCAUAUGAAUAAGCACCGGCUAA
rnacentral:rRNA from 1 species